AUACAUCUUCAGGGCAGGGUGCAAUUCCCUACCGGUGGUACAGCCCACGAGCCGCAAGGCAUGAUUCGGUGAAACUCCGAAGCCGACAGUACAGUCUGGAUGAAAGAAGAUGACA
rnacentral:ncRNA from 2 species